AGGCUGCGAGUCAUUCGGCGG
rnacentral:misc_RNA from 1 species